rnacentral:rRNA from 1 species
UUUCGCAAUGCCCGAAAGGGUGACGAAGCGACGCCGCGUGCGGGAAGAAGGCCUUCGGGUUGUAAACCGCUGUCGGGAGUUAAGAAAUGUAAGGAUGUUAAUAGCAUCUUUGCUUGACUAAGGCUCCGGAGGAAGCCACGGCUAACUCUGUGCCAGCAGCCGCGGUAAUACAGAGGCGGCAAGCGUUGUUCGGAAUUAUUGGGCGUAAAGAGCACGUAGGCGACUAUGUAAGUCGGUUGUGAAAGCCUUCCGCUCAACGGGAGAACAGCAUCCGAUACUGCAUGGCUUGAGUGCGGGAGGGGAGAGUGGAACUUCUGGUGGAGCGGUGAAAUGCGUAGAUAUCAGAAGGAACGCCGGCGGCGAAAGCGGCUCUCUGGCCCAUAACUGACGCUGAGUGUGCGAAAGCUAGGGGAGCAAACGGGAUUAGAUACCCCGGUAGUCCUAACUGUAAACGAUGGGCACUAAGUAGAGGGGUUUUA